UUGUGUUGUCUUUGAAGUUUGCCAAGAACAGUUAAGCAGUGCUGAAAGCAGGGGGAGCUGUGGUCCUGUAAUCAUUCCUGGAAGCCCCGUCCUCCUGUGCAGCUGAUAACAGACGGAAUUCGGAAUUCAUUCAUCACAGCAAGUCUUCCAGGUCCUGAAGCAGAAAACACACUACCACCACCACCAUAUUUUACUGUAGGUAA